rnacentral:rRNA from 1 species
GACGAACGCUGGCGGCGUGCUUAACACAUGCAAGUCGAACGGAAAGGCCCUGCUUUUGUGGGGUGCUCGAGUGGCGAACGGGUGAGUAACACGUGAGUAACCUGCCCUUGACUUUGGGAUAACUUCAGGAAACUGGGGCUAAUACCGGAUAGGAGCUCCUGCUGCAUGGUGGGGGUUGGAAAGUUUCGGCGGUUGGGGAUGGACUCGCGGCUUAUCAGCUUGUUGGUGGGGUAGUGGCUUACCAAGGCUUUGACGGGUAGCCGGCCUGAGAGGGUGACCGGCCACAUUGGGACUGAGAUACGGCGCAGACUCCUACGGGAGGCAGCAGUGGGGAAUAUUGCACAAUGGGCGGAAGCCUGAUGCAGCAACGCCGCGUGCGGGAUGACGGCCUUCGGGUUGUAAACCGCUUUCGCCUGUGACGAAGCGUGAGUGACGGUAAUGGGUAAAGAAGCACCGGCUAACUACGU